AUGUAUCUUUGUCAAUAUGCAUGCCACUAUGCAAGAAAUGUUUUUCCUACUGCUAAGUGCCUGAAACAAGAUUUUAAUGUAUUUUUUGAAAUCUUAAGUCUUGUCCACAUUUUGUCCUCUUGGAUAGUGAAAACCCUGCUGUCAAUCUGUAUUCACAGAGCUCAGAGUUCUACAAAGUCACCACUGAGCAGUACCAGAAAGCCGCUGAAGAGGUGGAAGCAAAGUUCAAGCGGUAUGAAUGCCAUCCCGUCUGUGCCGACCUGCAGGCCCAGAUUCUCCAGUGUUACCGCCAGAACACCCAGCAGACCCUCAGCUGCUCCGCUCUGGCCAGCGAGUACAUGCGCUGUGUCAAUCAGGCCAAACAGUGCUCCAGAAUCCACAGGCCUCUCUAGCCUGGCAGACAGCAUCCUCGCUCUACAGGACCUCGUGGAAAGACAUAGAGAUGCACCUGCUCUGCUGGGCCUGGCCCUUCUCCGGCCCACCGUGGGGACCCACUCCAUUCAUGCUGCAAGUCCUGCUUCACCAGGAUGCCCACCUCCUGGGCCCUGA
rnacentral:lncRNA from 1 species